GCAGUGAGGAAUAUUGGUCAAUGGGCGCAAGCCUGAACCAGCCAUGCCGCGUGCAGGAUGAAGCAUCUAUGGUGUGUAAACUGCUUUUGUACGGGAAGAAACACCUCUUCGUGAAGAGGCUUGACGGUACCGUAAGAAUAAGGAUCGGCUAACUCCGUGCCAGCAGCCGCGGUAAUACGGAGGAUCCAAGCGUUAUCCGGAAUCAUUGGGUUUAAAGGGUCCGUAGGCGGUUUUAUAAGUCAGUGGUGAAAUCCGGCAGCUCAACUGUCGAACUGCCAUUGAUACUGUAGGACUUGAAUUAUUGUGAAGUAACUAGAAUAUGUAGUGUAGCGGUGAAAUGCUUAGAUAUUACAUGGAAUACCCAUUGCGAAGGCAGGUUACUAACAAUGGAUUGACGCUGAUGGACGAAAGCGUGGGGAGCGAACAGGAUUAGA
rnacentral:rRNA from 1 species